rnacentral:lncRNA from 1 species
UUUGUAAAAAUCGAUGUUAUCACUAAUAUGUGUAUUUCUUGCUUUGCCUUCGAAUAAUUGAUCAAUCAGUUGGACAUUCUGCACAAAAUGUAUAUCAAAUGCUUCUUCCUUAUAAUAUCGGAUUAAUUCCAAAAGAGUUUGCUGGGGAAAAUAAAUCGAUUUUCGGAUGCAAGGUUAUGAGAUUCCUCAAGAAUGGUUAGGCUGAUACGGUUGGAAGAAAAUGGAAUUGAUUUAAUCUUAUGUGCAAAUGAAACUAACUCAUAAUCUACACAAUCAAUGAUAAGGUGUUCUUUAUAGAACCCAUGUAAU